UUUAGAAAACCCCUCACACGUUCAGAUGUGAAUGAUGGAUAUGUGCUAUGGUAACGGAAUUACCAGAGAAAUUAGUCAUUUUGCAACCCAAAGUUUAGUAAAAGUUUCUCUGAAAUCUACAACACACUAGCUCCAAGUUAAUGUCUGAUUCAAUUCAUUAUAAUGUCAACUUUAUUUUGAAAGUAAUUUAUUCACAAAUACCAUCAACAAAUUUUGAUGAUUGGUCUUUCUUUAGGGCAAGUACAUGGUAACGGAAUUACACAUAAUGGUAACGGAAUUACGCCUCUGACAUUUGGGAAGGAAAAUUAUAUUUUUAGGCAUUUAGGACUGGUGAAAUGCCUCAAUAAAGCUUGUUUCUACAUUCUUCUCUAAUACUUAACACAAUCUAAGUACUUCACAUCUCUAAUAUUAAAUAAAAUAUAAGUAUAUAUUACGUAAUAGGUGGCUCUACCUUGAAUAAACAUGAUUUUACAAAAUAUUAGGGAUCAGUGGUAAUUAAAUUUUAGUUCAUUUUCAAUUUUAGGGGUAUUAGGACUUACUAGCCACUUUUUGCCUCCUGUACUGAUGGAAAGAAUUAUGUAAAGGCCAAAAAUCAUCACUAGUAAUCAUGGUAACGGAAUUACAUGGACUACAGCCAUACGUAUACACAUUAGGAAUUUUACAAAAACUGAGGACAGCAUGUUAUCAGAUCUGCAUAUUUAGUCAAAGAUUUGUGUAGAUGAUAGUUUAAGAUAUUCUAAAGUAUUUGAAUACUCAAAAGAAACAUAGUUUCACAUACAAUUGGCAUCUUAAAACAGUUAAACUGAAAACUUUCUAUUUGGUUGUUCAAUAAAUGAUUUGAAAACAAGAAACAAUGCUGAAACCUCAUGAAAAUAGUGUUGACAUUUACAUCUUGAAAAAAUGUUGUGGACAACUAAGCAACAAAUUGGUUCUUAAUCAGUGCACCAAUCUAAUUUUUUUUAAAGGUAAGGAUUCAUUUUCUGUCUAUAUGUAGCUCACUGAGGACUGCAAUUAUAGCAGAUCUGAGUAAGUCAAUAUCGGACAUCUUCCUGACAGAUGUAUUUCCCAAAUGUGACCCUAAGAAACUGCUGUGAUUUGAUGAUCUUAUGUCAUAUUCAUGAAAUUAGUUGGUUUUCUUGGGCCAUGAUUUUUUUUUUAUUAUAUUAAAAUUUUUAUCCGAGAUGCAUUUUUAUCUUCCAUCUCUAAAGAUAUGUGACAAAGCAGUGCCUACAUGUAGGAUAUAGACAUGUUUAUCACGUAUCCAAUCAUUGCAUCACAGAUGAUGUGCCUGCACCAAAUUUCCUUUGAAGAAAAAAAAAGAACUGCAAAUAAGGUGGAGGCUACAUGUAUUCUCUCUAUACAUUUUCAAUUUCAGCAAUAUUUCUAGGUCAAUUCGCUCAAGACUUUGAAAUAAGAAUAAAGGAAAAUGAUAAAUCAUUUAAUCAUUAGAGUACUACUCUAACAUUAUUCUUGUAGAUUAAAGAAAUAUUUCAAAUAAUUUUAUUGACUAAUGUUGUUUAUGAAAUGAAAUGAAGUACAAAAUGAUGUGAUAUUGACUUCAUAUUUUUGUUCACCUUUUUUCAAUUAAAUCCCUGUAGGCACAGAAUUUGAUUUAAUGCCAUCUCACUCAUUUGCCAAAACUCAUGGCAGAAAGGCUUUUAAUUGGUUGAAUGAGAUGAG